AUAUCAAUAAGCGGAGGAAAAGAAACCAACCGGGAUUGCCUUAGUAACGGCGAGUGAAGCGGCAAAAGCUCAAAUUUGAAAUCUGGCUCUAUUUUGGGGUCCGAAUUGUAAUUUGAAGAAGCGACUUUGGACCUGGCUCUUGUCUAUGUUCCUUGGAACAGGACGUCACAGAGGGUGAGAAUCCCGUGCGAUGAGAAGCCCAGGUUCGUGUAAAGCGUUUUCGACGAGUCGAGUUGUUUGGGAAUGCAGCUCUAAGUGGGUGGUAAAUUCCAUCUAAAGCUAAAUAUUGGCGAGAGACCGAUAGCGAACAAGUACAGUGAUGGAAAGAUGAAAAGAACUUUGAAAAGAGAGUGAAAAAGUACGUGAAAUUGUUGAAAGGGAAGGGCUUGAGAUCAGACUUUGUUUUUCCAUGGCGCUCUUUCGGGGGUGUCCUCUGGGUCUACAGGGCCAGCAUGGGUUUUGCGGGCGAGACAAGGACUCAGGAAUGUGGCUCUGCUUCGGUGGAGUGUUAUAGCCUGGGGUACUGGUCGCCAUGCGGGACCGAGGACUGCGGUACUAGGAUGCUGGCAUAAUGAUCUUAAGCCGC
rnacentral:rRNA from 1 species